UAUAUAAGAGGCGGCUGGAAUUCCCGUACAAGUAAAGGAUUCAUCAGGCUUUCCUUACAAGAAAAAUUACAUCAAUUCGCGUCCUAGAGUCCUAGUUCUAUUCCAACUCGGAUCCAGUCUGAAUCUGGCCCAACUUCUGUCUUCCUCCUUGUGCAGGCCGCCGAGCCUCCAUAUGACCUCCGAUCAAGAUGGCCCAAAUAUCAAACUUGUGCGCCUCGACGAUACGAACAACUCUCAUGUUGAUCACUUUUUCAAAUAAGGCCAUCUUGAAUACUUUUCGAGGUCAUCUUUACCUUCCAUUCGGACUCGGUCUUGCGGUAGACUGAAUUAUUCGAGUCUUGUAGUGAAUUUGCAGGCCAUAUACUAUCUCUGAUGAUGAUGACUCCAAAAGCAAAGUUUACCGUCUUGACGAUACGCACAACUUCUGUAUUGAACACUUCUUCAUCCGAGAUCAUCUUGAUAAACUUUUGGGCACAUGUUCAGUUUCACUCGGAUUUGAGCUCAUCCACUCGGAUUUUAGAGUCCUUCACUCGGAUGGUCCGACUGGACUUUUUCACUCGGAUGACUAUAUUUUCACUCGGAAGACAAUCAAUCGGUAGGUUUUUACUCGACCUUUUACUCGAUCGGUAGGUUUUGACUCGACCUUUUACUCGAUCGGUAGGUUUUCACUCGACCUUUUACUCGAUCGGUAGGUUUUCACUCGACCUUUUACUCGAUCGGUAGGUUUUCACUCGACCUUUUACUCGAUCGGUAGGUUUUCACUCGACCUUUUACUUGAUCGGUAGGUUUUCACUCGGAUGGUAAGCUUUUCACUCGACCAAAAACAUAGCCUGAUCUUGAUUUGUCUCCCCAAGUCUCAUACGACCUCGGAUUGAGACGAAUUAUAUAGGAAAAUCGAUCGGCUCGACGAGAGGAAACUUUUUCGUGUUGAAGGUUUUUCGAUCCAAUGCCGUCUUGAAGGCCGAAUUGCUCACGCGACCCAUCAGACAUGGCGUCUGGUACUUCGCGCCAUAUUUCCACUCAGCUUCGGCCCGCAGUGUAUUGCCUCUAACUUUUGCAUAUGAACUCGGAUUGAGAUGAUUUAUAUAUCAAAAUCGAUCGCCUCGACGAGACGAAGACAAUUCCUUUAGAGUACUCCUUCAUCCGAGGUCGUCUUGAGGGCAUGGUCGGCCGAAAACCACUCGGAAUGUUGAAUUUUGUCACUCGGAGUACAACUUCGGCCACCGAGAUAAGGUCGAAUGGCGAUAAGUUAAACAUCAAAGUUAUUCCACUCGGUGACCUGAAACUUUGCAUGCCGAAAACUCUUUUACUUGAGGCCAUCUUACUUGCCUUUUGUACCUUUCCAAAAUCCGAUGUCAACACAUGCCCCCCUGUUUUUCGGCAAAGCUUGCACGCCGAAAAAUAAUAUGCACGGUGUUUGUUCUAAGGACGAUGUCAACACUCCAUCAGCCAUUUAUUUUCCUCAGGGCGAUAAUUAUGUAUCGGCCAUGUUUGUGCUAAGGGAGAUAAUUGUAUAUCGGCCAUUGCCUACUCAGGCUUCCUGCCACACACUCGGGUGGUACUUCUUCAAAUAUUUUCUGUUGAGAGCUCGGGGUAACAAUGCCCCUUGUAUUGAUUCUACCAAGUAUUAAUUUCCAGGAACAACCCUUGUAAUCCUAAAAGGACCUUCCCAACUUGGAGACCACUUCCCGAAUUUUCUAUCUCUUGAACCAAUCGGCAGAAUCACCUUCCAAACGAGAUCACCAACUUGAAAAUUCUUCAACUUGACUUUCUUAUUGUAAGCUCUUGCUACCCUCAACUUAUCUCUCUCUAUGGACUCCAAAGCAACCAAACGUUUAUCGGCAACCUCAUCAAUAUUGUCCAUCAUUAAGUUAUAGAAGUCUACUGCCGAUAAAUCAUUUUGUUUGGCUAUUCUCAAAGCAUUCAAAUUUACCUCCACUGGUAAAACAGCCUCCUGACCAUAUACUAGCUCAUAUGGAGUCACCUUCGUAGCACCAUGCCUUGAAAUUCUAUGUGCCCAUAAAGCUUCAGACAACAACUCAUGCCAUCUCCUCGGAUUAUCCUCAAUCUUCUUCUUGAUGAGCUUCAUUAGAAUUUUAUUGCUAGACUCAGCUUGUCCAUUAGCUUGGGCAUAAUAUGGAGAGGAAUUGAGCAACUUUAUAUUAUAAGAUUCGGCAAACUCUCUGACUUGGUGUGACAUAAAAGAUGAACCUUGAUCCGUAGUUAACGUUUGAGGAAUACCGAAUCUAUGAAUAAUGUGUUCAGUUAUGAAUUGAAUUACCUCCGUAUGCAUCAUGUUCUUGAGAGGUACUGCUUCAGACCAUUUAGUGAAAUAAUCAGUUGCCACCAAUACGAACCGAUGCCCUUUUGAGGAAGACGGGUGAAUUUGUCCAAUGAAAUCUAACCCCCAACCUCUGAAAGGCCACGGUUUGAUAAUAGGAUGUAACAUAGCAGCAGGAGCCAAUUGAAUAUCACCAAACUUUUGACAAGCUUCACACCCUUUAUAAUAUCUGAAGCAAUCAUUAAUCAUAGUCGGCCAAUAAAACCCAGCACGUCGCAAUAACCAUUUCAUUUUGGGAGCCGACUGGUGAGUACCACAAAUACCUUCAUGUACUUCUCCCAUAGCAACUCUUGCCUGGUCCUCAUCCAAACACUUUAGAAGAACAUCAUCGACUGUUCGGUGAUAAAGACCAUCAUCUCUCAUUGUAUACUUGAAAGCCAUACGCCGAACAGCCCUGUCCAUCCUUUCACUCGGAUUGCACAAGUAAUCAACAAUGGGCUUUCUCCAGUCGGAAUUAUCACCUGCACUAGAUUUUUUGUUAAUGGCCGAAUCAGUGGGUUCAGGUUCGGCCUCUCCCAUAUUGGCAAGACAAGACAUCGGUCUUUGAGAGAUAUGAAACAUGCCAUGAUCAACAUGAUAUCCAGAUGCUUGCUGUGCCAACUCAUUUGCUUUCCAGUUGUCAUGUCUAGAUUUAUGUGUGUUGGGGAACGUAGUAAUUUCAAAAAUUUCCUACGCUCAUGCAAGAUCAUGGUGAUGGCAUAGCAACGAGAGGGGAGAGUGUAUGUCCACGUACCCUCGUAGACCGUAAGCGGAAGCGUUAUGACAACGCGGUUGAUGUAGUCGUACGUCUUCACGAUCCGACCGAUCCAAGUACCGAACGUACGGCACCUCCGAGUUCAGCACACGUUCAGCUCGAUGACGAUCUCCGGCCUCCGAUCCAGCAGAGCUCCGGAGACGAGUUCCGUCAGCACGACGGCGUGGUGACGAUGAUGAUGUUCUACCGGCACAGGGCUUCGCCUAAGCUCCGCGACGAUAUGACCGAGGUGGAAAAUGGUGGAGGGGGGCACCGCACACGGCUAAGGAACGAUCCGUAGAUCAACUUGUGUGUCUAUGGGGUGCCCCCUGCCCCCGUAUAUAAAGGAGGGAGGGAGGAGGAGGCCGGCCCUAGGAGGAGGGCGCGCCAAGGGAGUCCUACUCCCACCGGGAGUAGGAUUCCUUCUUUCCUAGUCCAACUAGGUCAAGGGGGGAAAGAAGGGAAGUGGAGAAGGAAGGAAGAGGGGGGCCGCGCCCCAAACCCUUUGUCCAAUUCGGACUGGGCUUGGGAGGGGCGCGCGCCUCCUCCUGGCUCCUUCCCACUAAAGCCCAUUAAGGCCCAAUACUCUUCCUCGUAUUCCCGUAACUCCCCGGUACUCCGAAAAAUACCCGAAUCACUCGGAACCUUUCCGAACUCCGAAUAUAGUCGUCCAAUAUAUCGAUCUUUACAUCUCAACCAUUUCGAGACUCCUCGUCAUGUCCCCGAUCUCAUCCGGGACUCCGAACUCCUUGGGUACAUCAAAACUCAUAAACUCAUAAUAUAACUGUCAUCGAAACCUUAAGCGUGCGGACCCUACGGGUUCGAGAACUAUGUAGACAUGACCUAGAACUAUUCUCGGUCAAUAACCAAUAGCGGGACCUGGAUGCCCAUAUUGGCUCCUACAUAUUCUAUGAAGAUCUUUAUCGGUCAAACCGCAUAACAACAUACGUUGUUCCCUUUGUCAUCGGUAUGUUACUUGCCCGAGAUUCGAUCGUCGGUAUCCAAUACCUAGUUCAAUCUCGUCACCGGCAAGUCUCUUUACUCGUUCUGUAAUGCAUCAUCCCGUAACCAACUCAUUGGUUACAUUGCUUGCAAGGCUUAUAAUGAUGUGCAUUACCGAGAGGGCCCAGAGAUACAUCUCCGACAAUCGGAGUGACAAAACCUAAUCUCGAAAUACGCCAACUCAACAUGUACCUUCGGAGACACCUGUAGUACUCCUUUAUAAUCACCCAGUUACGUUGUGACGUUUGGUAGUACCCAAAGUGUUCCUCCGGUAAACGGGAGUUGCAUAAUCUCAUAGUUACAGGAACAUGUAUAAGUUAUGAAGAAAGCAAUAGCAACAUACUAAACGAUCAAGUGCUAAGCUAACGGAAUGGGUCAAGUCAAUCACAUCAUUCUCCCAAUGAUGUGAUCCCAUUAAUCAAAUGACAACUCUUUUGUCCAUGGCUAGGAAACAUAACCAUCUCUGAUAAACGAGCUAGUCAAGUAGAGGCAUACUAGUGACACUAUGUUUGUCUAUGUAUUCACACAUGUAUUAUGUUUCCGGUUAAUACAAUUCUAGCAUGAAUAAUAAACAUUUAUCAUGAAAUAAGGAAAUAAAUAAUAACUUUAUUAUUGCCUCUAGGGCAUAUUUCCUUCAAUGUGCAAUGCUAAAACAAUCCAAAGUAGAAAUUAUAUCUAGACAUUUAUCAAGAUAAACAUUAAGUGAUUCGUCAGAACACUGAAAGACUCUGGAUAUUUGAUGCACCACUAGUAACGAAUCACCGUAAGCCUCAAUAUGUGUAACACCUAUAGCAAGUAACAUCUCUAGACCGGAUAACAAUGCUUCAUAUUCGGCUUGAUUGUUUGUGCAAAAAUAUUCUAAGCGGCAUGAGGCUUCAAAAACAGCACCAUGAGGAGAUAUGUAAACAAUACCAACACCUUGGCCAUUGCUACAAACUGAACCAUCAAAGUACAAUCUCCAUGGAACUAAUGAAACAAGGUUCAUAUCAACAUCAUGCUUGUCAUUAAUCCGAUGUUCAACAAUGAAAUUAGCAACAAUUUGGCCUUUCAUGGAUUUUAGAGAUUCAUAAGCCAAAUCAUACUCAAUCAAAGCAUAAGCCCACUUGCCAAUUCUACCACUAAGAAUUGGCCUAUGCAACAUGUACUUAAUGACAUCGGUUUGACAAGCUACUACACAAGCACUCGGCACUAGGUAAUGUCUCAAUUUUGUGCAAGCGUAAUAUAAGCAUAGACAUAGUUUUUCAAUAAAUGUAUACCUUGUCUCGGCGUCCAAUAAACGUCUGCUCAAAUAUGUAAUGGCAUGCUCUUAUCCUUCGGUAUCUUGAGUCAAAACAGCACCAAUAACACCUUCCUCUGCUGCGAUAUAAAGUUUAAAAGGCUCUCUAUGCUUGGGUGCUUUCAUCACCGGAGGAGUGCACAAAUAACUCUUGAUCAUAUCAAAGGCUUCUUGCUGUUUUGCGCCCCAAGUGAAAUCAACAUCAUUCUUUAACCGAAGGAUAGGAGUAAAUGCAUCAACUUUCCCUGAUAGAUUAGCUAUGAACCUUCUCAAAUAAUUAACCUUGCCAAGGAACUUUUGCAUAUCUUUCUUGCAUGUUGGAGCCUCCACUUUCUGUAUGGCCUCUAUCUUUUUGGGAUCUAUUUCGAUGCCAUCUUCAUGAAUAAUGAAACCCAAAAAUUUGCCAGCUGACACGCCGAAUGCACACUUCAAAGGAUUCAUCUUCAGUCCAUACUUUUUCAUUCUUUCAAAAGCUAAACGCAAAUCGGCCAAGUGAGAUUCAAAAGCAUCCGAUUUGACAACAAUAUCAUCAAUAUAAACUUCAAGUAUGACACCGAGUAAAUCAUGAAAAAUCAAAUUCAUAGCCCUUUGAUAUGUGGCCCCGGCAUUUUUCAAUCCGAAUGUCAUCACUGUCCACUCGAAUAAACCAAGGAAACCAGGACAUCGGAAAGCUGUUUUGUACAUGUCCUCUUCGGCCAUAAAAAUUUGAUUGUAUCCGGCAUUACCAUCUAGAAAGCUAAUAACCUUAUGUCUAGAAGCAUCAUUAAUAAGCAUAUCGGCUAUUGGCAUGGGAUACUCAUCUUUGGGUGUAGCCCUAUUCACAUCUCUGAAGUCAAUGCACACCCUCAACUUGCCGGAUCCCUUCUUCUCCACUGGGACAAUGUUAGAAAUCCACUCGGCAUACCUGCAAGGUCGAAUGAAAUUAGCUUCAAGCAGUCGACCGAUCUCUUCCUUGAUCCGGUCAUAUGUUUUCGGAUUAAACUUUCUGGCCGACUGUUUAUAAGGUCUAAAACCGGCCUUUAUAGGCAACCGAUGCUCCACUAGCUCUCGGCUCAACCCUGGCAUCUCAUGAUAUUCCCAUGCAAAGCAACAAACAUAUUCUUUCAAUAGCUCGAUUAAUUUAGCUUUACAAUCGGCUUUCAGAUUUUUGUUUAUAAAUGUCGGUCGACUGACUGAUCCGUCUCCGAUAUCUACCUCUUCUAACGGAUCGGCCGAUGUAAAACAUUGUCCAAGUUUAUCCAUGUCAUCCAACUCCUCAAUAGACUCAUACAUAUCGUUCUCGCUGGACCGAUACUUUGCAAGACGUUUUUGUAACCACUCGGAAUUAGGAUCCAUUUAAACAUAUCAUACCUUGGAGCCGAUUGUAUUCAGUCGGCUUUAAAGACACGGGCACAAAACCAUUCUUAGUCGCGCUGAGAAAAUCAAACUCUGACAAAUCACGUCUCGUCAAGCAAAUAGCAUUGGGAUGUUGCCAAUCCACCGAUGCGUCGGCCAAAGCAACGCAAGCCGAAUUAUCCGCAUGAAUGACUUCCACUUCAUCAUCAACCCACUGAAUCAAAAACUGGUGCAUAGUGGAUGGCACGCACUGGUUUGCAUGAACCCAAUCACGGCCUAGUAUAACAUUGUAGUUACCUUGCACCUCAGCGACAAAGAAUGCAGUGGCCAAAGUUUUGCUUCCGACUGUAAGCUCCACAUACAUUACACCUUUGGCUUCAGUUUUCUCUUUGCCUUCAAACCCGUUGAGGACCAUAUUGGUCUUGAUCAAUUCUUCAUCAGGCAAACCCAAUUUCUUGAAGACCGAAUAGGGCAUAAGAUUUACCACAGCACCACCAUCAACAAGCAUUCGACUAAGUGGCGAUCCAUUGAUAUGACCUCUGAGAUACAACGGUUUCAAAUGUAUUACUGGCUCUUUUGGCUUCUCGAAUAUUGCGUUUUUAGGGCCAAAAUCCAGCUGAGCCACCUCCCCUUCCUCAUCUACAGCACGAAACUCAGUAGGUAAGUAAUACACCAUAUUGAUAUCCAUACCUUCAUGAACCGGUGUAGACUCAUAGUCCAACAUAUCAUCCUCUUCUUCAAGUGGAUCGACCGAUUCUGAAAUCUGGCCGAGUGAAGGAGAAGUAAGAAGUGUCGCAGACGAUGUAAUAGCCGUCACAUCGUCCUCCUUGGGUGGUGUAGGCACUUCUGUGAUAGAUGUAGAAGCUGAUGUAUCUUGUAUUUGUUUUGGCCUCCACACUUGUUUUGCUGGAACCAUGGGCCGAGUGUCAUUGAACAACUUAUCCCUUUGCUUCUCGGCCUCCUGCUCUGCCAUCUCUUGACUCCUUAACCUCUGUAGUUUCCUCUUCUGUGUCUUUGUUAGCCCUGGAGGACACCACUUUGGCUGAGUAUAUUUAGGAUCUCUUGUUUUUACCUGGUUGGUGCUUGCUUCAUGGUCAUUAGCCGAGUGCUUUGGCGCGAUAGAGAGUAUUGGCUCAGUCGGAUUGCUAUGCACAAUAGGCUGCUGUAUGACAAAUGUUUCUGUGCCCAAGAUAAGUGAGUCGGCAUCCAUUUUCUCCUUGCCUUUUCCCGACUCAACUGCUGCAACACUCGGUGACUUAACACGCCAUUCUUUUCGACUUUCCAGAGGCAUGAAAUUUCCACUCUGGCGCACCUUCUUACUUGGAUGGAAUCCACUCGGAUUGAUGUCACUCGGAUGGUAUCCACUCGGAUGGAACUCAGUCGGAUGGAAUCUACCCAUCCACAUUUUUUCACUCGGAUAGCUUCCACCUGGGUGCAUUCUUACACUCGGAUAAUUUCCACUCGGUCGCAUAUUUUGACCAACCGACUGAUAGUCACCGAUGCUGAGUCGGCCAUCAUAUGAGUAAUCAAGUCGAUCCCACACAGAUUGCCUCUGCUUUUCUGAAAACUGCGCCCUUGUUCCACUCGGUUUUGUAUACCGACUGAACAUAUCAACUGAUGGUGACCUUGGUCGUUUCAGAUGAGUGGUCGAUUGAAACUAGAACCGGCCGACUGGUUAGCAUAUUUGGAUAGCAACAUAUCAAAAGUUGGCUUGAUCCGCUUGCGCUGCACUUUAACUUCAUUCUUCUUCCACUUGCCAACUUCUGGACUCUUGGGCUUGACAAAUUUAACACGAGUAUUUUCUUGCACUUGCGGUUGCCCCCCGAGUGUAGGAUUCUUGAUGGUGAUUUUGAUCACUUCUUUGCCACCGGGUGGCUUAUCAAGCACAACCUGUCUCCCCAAGACCUUGUCGCCCUCCUUUUCUUUCCUGGGCUCACCAACAAUGACAUUAGCUUUAUUAGAAGAUUCAGCUACCUCCGGCCGAAUGAGCAGCUUCUUCCCUUCUAAAUCCAUGGUGUUCAUUGGAAAGGGCUGUUUAUCCACUUGCAUCUCAGAAAAGUUCAAUCGUCCGUCAUUAAUGGCCGAUUGUAUCUGUCGUCGAAAAACAUUGCAAUCGUUAGUAGCAUGAGAAAAAGAGUUAUGAUACUUGCAAUAAGCACGCCGUUUUAUCUCUUCAAACGGCGGUAAAGUAUGAGAUAUUCUAAUAAUCUUAGCCUGCAGCAAAGCAUCAAAUAUUCUAUCACACUUAGCAAUGUUAAAAGUAAACUUCAUCUCUUCAUCACGAUUCUUAUGAAUCGGUUUCAGAUCAUUGCAAGUAAAGGGUUUGGCCUUAGAUGGCCAAACAAAUUCAGUAGCAAAAACAUCACCCUCAUCGUCCGAGUGAUCACUAUCAUAUUCCACCAUAUUCAUCUUUGGACGAUCGGCUUUGUAUCUAUGCACUUCCUUGAGAUCUUUGCUUCGGCUUUCCUGAGCCAAAGCCCUUUGUAAGACUUGGUUAAUAUUUAAGAACUCAUAGCCUUCUAGCUUUUCUCUAAUGGGAGUUCUCAAACCACUCAGCACUAGGUCUGCCAAUUCUCUCUCGGUUAUCACCAAACUAAAACACCGGUUUUUCGUUUCUCUGAAUCUUUUGACGUAAUCGGAGACCGAUUCAUCAUGCUUCUGUUUAACCGAUGUUAGAUGUGACAACUUGAGUUCAUUGUCGCCGCUAUAAAAUUGAUCAUGAAAUUUCUGCUCUAGCUGCGACCAAACUCGAAUGGAACCAUGUGGUAAAGAAGAAAACCAUGAAAAUGCGGUACCAGUUAAUGACAAAGGAAAUAAACGCACUUUCAACUCAUUCAGUGAGCCUGCCUCACCCAAUUGUGCUAAGUAUUGACUAACAUGCUCCCAUGUGGUUUUUGUGCCCUCUCCAUUAAACUUAACAAAAUCUGGAAUUUUAUAUCCUGGAGGGCACUGGAUGGCAUCAAAGUACUCGGGGUACGGCUUUUGGUAAAUCCGAUUCCGAGGUAACUCAACUCCAAAAUUCUCUCGAAGCAUCUUAUCCAUCUCCUCUCUAAGAUUAGCUAAACCAUCAUCCAUAGUGGACGAUGAAGCUUGUGGCAGUGGCAUAGGAGGAGUGGGGUUACUAGCUGUAGGUAGGAAUUGUGGCAUGUAUGUCGACCCAUAAUUUGGUAUUGGUCGAGUGGUUGUAGCUGUAGGUAGGGUUUGGUUCGGCGUCACCAUCGAACCUGGCAUGCUCAUAAUAGGAUUAAUGGGUGCAGCCACAAUCUGAUUUGUUUGGGUAGGAUAAUAAGUCAUCGGCACGGGAGGCACCGAUGAGAUAGGUAAAGCCAGAUUAGGGUUUUGCACACUAGCAGAUACACCAUCAUUACCACUAGUCAAUUGAGAUGUAUUCUUCUGAGCAUUAGUAUUUUCUAUGAAAGUUUGAUAGACUAGAUUGUUACCAUCAGCAAUACGACUUUCAAUCUCAGCCCACUGCUCAGGAGAAAAGGCAGUACUUACAGAGGGUUUAACCUGCUUGGCAUGCAAAGGAGGGAACUUGAUUUCUUCAAUCGGAGUGAUGUUGCCUUGGCGAUCCUUCUUGAACUUUGCAAGGAACUCCUGCAAGUCCUUCUCCUCGCGCGCCUUCUUGUACUCCUCAUAGACUUGGCGAUGAUCGGCCGAUAUCUCAUCAAGACUGGGCUUAAUGAUGUUAUCGGCGUCUACCUCAGAUGGCUUGGGAAGAUCGGACAUGGUGGAUGAUGAUGAUUGAUCUUCGGUCCCCAGCGGAGUCGCCAAAAAGUGUGUCGACACACGAACACGUCACGUGUACCCUCGACGCCGGGGGUGAUGCACCGCAGCUCACGUCGAAGGAGACCCGGCCGACAGCGCGAUACGCAAGACAGUCGGCGGGUGCUUUUGCAGACCCGAAACCCCGCGCACCCGGGAGGGACCCCGUCAGGGAUUGCGGCGGCUAUGGGCUGCCCUAGGUCGAUUCGCUCGCCCCUAGAGCCUCGGGAUUCGCAGCUCUCAAACACGAAGAACAGCGAAGAACGAGAGAGAAAAAUGGUGGAGAGAUAAAAAGUAGACAGGAAAAAGUAGUAUAUUGAUUUGUUCGAUUGUGUGUUGUUCAAUCGGCCGUCACCCCCAACAUAUAUAAGAGGCGGCUGGACUUCCCGUACAAGUAAAGGAUUCAUCUAGGCUUUCCUUACAAGAAAAAUUACAUCAAUUCGCGUCCUAGAGUCCUAGUUCUAUUCCAACUCGGAUCCAGUCUGAAUCUGGCCCAACUUCUGUCUUCCUUCUUGUGCAGGCCGCCGAGCCUCCAUAUGACCUCCGAUCAAGAUGGCCCAAAUAUCAAACUUGUGCGCCUCGAUGAUACGAACAACUCUCAUGUUGCUCACUUUUUCAAAUAAGGCCAUCUUGAAUACUUUUCGAGGUCAUCUUUACCUUCCAGUCGGACUCGGUCUUGCGGUAGACUGAAUUAUCCGAGUCUUGUAGUGAAUUUGCAGGCCAUAUACUAUCUCUGAUGAUGAUGACUCCAAAAGCAAAGUUUACCGUCUUGACGAUACGCACAACUUCUGUAUUGAACACUUCUUCAUCCGAGAUCAUCUUGAUAA
rnacentral:lncRNA from 1 species